UGUGUCAGACUUGUGGAAAGCACCAUUAGGGUAUUUGUAGAGCUAACAGUGAUAUUUGUUUUGAAUGUGGCAAGCUAUUCCAUAGAGUCAAAGAUUGUCCCCAGUCAGGUUUUUAGGGUCAUCCUAACCGUUCCUCAGCUCAGUUCGGUCGCGCUAAUCAGUAGGGUGCCACUUUUAGUGCCACCAGUGGGUAAUGCCCAA
rnacentral:lncRNA from 1 species